rfam:Triticum urartu cultivar G1812 contig1155180, whole genome shotgun sequence.
CUAGUACUCCCUCCGUCCGAAAAUACUUGUCGGAGAAAUAGAUAAAAAUGGAUGUAUGUAGAAUUAAAAUACAUCUAGAUACAUCCAUUUCUCCGACAAGUAUUUCCGGACGGAGGGAGUAUAUU